GACAAUGGUCUACCUAUCUCAAAGGUGUUGCUCAUAUCUUCUUGUUCCUCCAAUUCUUCAUCAGUCUCCUCAGGUGCAACAGUGGGGACAUAGGAGGGUGGGAAGGUAGAUGGCGCAGUAGUAAGCUCAUGACUCUGCUCCCCAUCUCCUAUGUGAAUGGCACUGACAUCAUCAAGAAUCUGAACAGUCUGAAAUGAUGAUCCCUCUGAAACUUGAGACUGUUCCUCAAUGAGCUAAGUGACCAUCUGCCC
rnacentral:lncRNA from 1 species